rnacentral:rRNA from 1 species
ACUCAAAGGAAUUGACGGGGGCCCGCACAAGCGGUGGAGUAUGUGGUUUAAUUCGACGCAACGCGAAGAACCUUACCAAGGCUUGACAUGGGGACGACCGGUCUGGAAACAGGCCUUUCCUUCGGGACGUCCCGCACAGGUGGUGCAUGGUUGUCGUCAGCUCGUGUCGUGAGAUGUUGGGUUAAGUCCCGCAACGAGCGCAACCCUUGCCAUUAGUAGCCAGCGGGUGAAGCCGGGCACUUUAAUGGGACUGCCGUGGAUGACACGGAGGAAGGUGGGGACGACGUCAAAUCAUCAUGCCCCUUAUGUCUUGGGCUACACACGUACUACAAUGGAUGAGAACAAAGCGAAGCGAAGCCGCAAGGCCAUAGCAAACCGCAAAAAAGCAUCCUCAGUUCGGAUUGCGGGCUGCAACCCGCCCGCAUGAAGCCGGAAUCGCUAGUAAUCGCGGAUCAGCAUGCCGCGGUGAAUACGUUCCCGGGCCUUGUACACACCGCCCGU